GACGAACGCUGGCGGCGUGCUUAACACAUGCAAGUCGAGCGGUAAGGCUCCUUCGGGAGUACACGAGCGGCGAACGGGUGAGUAACACGUGAGUAACCUGCCCUUCUCAUCGGAAUAAGCGUUGGGAACGACGUCUAAUGCCGAAUACGACUUCGGAAGGCAUCUUCUGAAGUGGAAAGCUCCGGCGGAGAAGGAUGGACUCGCGGCCUAUCAGCUAGUUGGUGAGGUAACGGCUCACCAAGGCGACGACGGGUAGCCGGCCUGAGAGGGUGACCGGCCACACUGGGACUGAGACACGGCCCAGACUCCUACGGGAGGCAGCAGUGGGGAAUAUUGGACAAUGGGCGCAAGCCUGAUCCAGCAACGCCGCGUGAGGGAUGACGGCCUUCGGGUUGUAAACCUCUUUCAGCAGGGACGAAGCGAAAGUGACGGUACCUGCAGAAGAAGGACCGGCCAACUACGUGCCAGCCGCCGCGGUAAGAC
rnacentral:rRNA from 1 species